GAUGAACGCUGGCGGCGUGCCUAAUACAUGCAAGUCGAGCGAAUGGAUUAAGAGCUUGCUCUUAUGAAGUUAGCGGCGGACGGGUGAGUAACACGUGGGUAACCUGCCCAUAAGACUGGGAUAACUCCGGGAAACCGGGGCUAAUACCGGAUAACAUUUUGAACCGCAUGGUUCGAAAUUGAAAGGCGGCUUCGGCUGUCACUUAUGGAUGGACCCGCGUCGCAUUAGCUAGUUGGUGAGGUAACGGCUCACCAAGGCAACGAUGCGUAGCCGACCGGGGGGGGUGAUCGGCCACACUGUGACUGAGACACGGCACAGACUCCUACGGGAGGCAGCAGUAGGGAAUCUUCCGCAAUGGACGAAAGUCUGACGGAGCAACGCCGCGUGAGUGAUGAAGGCUUUCGGGUCGUAAAACUCUGUUGUUAGGGAAGAACAAGUGCUAGUUGAAUAAGCUGACACCUUGACGGUACCUAACCAGAAAGCCACGGCUAACUACGUGCCAGCCGCCGCGGUAA
rnacentral:rRNA from 1 species